AUUGAACGCUGGCGGCAGGCCUAACACAUGCAAGUCGAGCGGAUGAAGGGAGCUUGCGCCUGGAUUCAGCGGCGGACGGGUGAGUAAUACCUAGGAAUCUGCCUGGUAGUGGGGGAUAACAUCCGGAAACGGGCGCUAAUACCACAUACGUCCUGAGGGAGAAAGUGGGGGAGCUUCGGACCGCACGCUAUCAGAUGAGCCUAGGUCGGAUUAGCUAGUUGGUUGGGUAAAGGCCUGCCAAGGCGACUAUCCGUAACUGGUCUGAGAGGAUGAUCAGUCACCCUGGAAAUGAGACACGGUCCAGACUCCUAAGGGAGGCAGCAGUGGGGAACAGUGGACAAUGGGCGAAAGCAUGAUACAGCCAUGCCGAGUGUGUGAAGAAGGUCUUCGGAUUGUAAAGCACUUUAAGUGGGGGGGAAGGGCAGUAAGUUAAUACCUUGCUGUUUUGACGUUACCAACAGAAUAAGCACCGGCUAACUUCGUG
rnacentral:rRNA from 1 species